rnacentral:rRNA from 1 species
GACGAACGCUGGCGGCGCGCCUAAUACAUGCAAGUCGAGCGAGAAACUCGGGGCUUGCCCCGGGUGGACAGCGGCGAACGGGUGAGGAACACGUGAGAAACCUGCCCCGAAGACCGGGAUAACACCGGGAAACCGGUGCUAAUACCGGAUGCCCUCACCGGACCGCAUGAUCCGGUGAGGAAAUGGAUUCCGCUUCGGGAUGGUCUCGCGGCCUAUCAGCUUGUUGGUGGGGUAACGGCCUACCAAGGCUUCGACGGGUAGCUGGUCUGA